GUCCGUAAAGGUGCAUGAGUGGUGUUUGGUUUGUUACGUGUGGUUGGCUGCGGCGUUUGCAACAACUUCCAUGCUUUCAGACCUCUUCAGUUGUGCGGCAAGGCUUGUAUCGCCUUGAGCGUAUUGUGGGUUUUCUGUGUUGGCUACCUAAUCAAUGGUAUCGGUUGGAUUGAUCAAUGUUUCAUUUCGUCUACCGUCGCAUUCGCGGCGUGAGAUGAACCUUGAUGCGGUCUCUUUGAUCCACCUCGUCGAAGCGCAUGCUUUGGCGUUGUGGCACAUUGAGCAUUGCUUGGUCUCUUGUAUACGGAACAUAUAGUGGGCAUGGAUCUAACGAUUCUCGUUUGCCCUCAUAUUAGCGUAACGCUUCUCUUACACGACUUGCACCACGUUUUAGCUCGUACGGACGUGGU
rnacentral:misc_RNA from 1 species